rnacentral:SRP_RNA from 1 species
GUCGGGUGUUGUGGUGGGCGCCUCUAGUCCCAGCUACUUGGGAGGCUGAGGCAGGAUAAUCAUUUGGGCCCAAGAGUUUGAGGUUGCUGUGAGCUGUAAUGCCACAGCACUCUAACUUGGGUUAUAUAGUGAGGCUCUGCCUCAA